AUAAAAAUCGCGUUAUUGGGAACGCUGAAUCUGCCGAAAAAAUACAAUGUGCCUAAAUGUUACGGACGGGCUAAACUAUUAAUUACAAGUACGUUCCAGUUGCAACCAGUUGCAGGGCUGUACCGUAGAAGAGGAGGAUAUAUAAACUACUGAAAUUCUCGUCCAAAACAGUCAAUCCAUAUGUCUGCUUAUAAGUAUAUACAAUGUAAAAUGUGUCCGUCAACAAUGGAGAGUCAUUCAUCUGCAGAGACACAGGAAAAUACGAUGAACAGACUGCAGUAAAAUCUUAUAGUUAUGACUAGCCUCUCCUACAGCUUCAGUAUUUUGUUGAGAAAUGGAACAAGAGCUUCACCUGGGUGUGAUUCUGGGCAGUUUAAUGAAGAUAAUGAUCAACAAGUGCUGCAGAGCAAAGUUCCAUCAUGUGUCAAGACAUAGACAAAGAGAAUUAAAGAUGAUGGAAGAGGACAGAUGUCAGAAAUCAGUGGGAGACUCUAAAUGGCAUUCACCAAAUUGUUUCAAGCCCACAUCAGAGAGCAACUGAAUAGAACGUUUAUAGACAGUGGUCUAUUCAAACAGUAAGUAUACCAGAAAGAGCAUAAGUUUCAUUUUUCCCAAAUUACUUUUUUGAUUCAAAUGUGUGUGUAUAAUAACUGGAUUCAGCUACAACAGCAUCACAUUAUUUCAAACACAAUUUUUAGAAUGAGAAAGUAGCAAUGAAAACUCAAUCUCCUUACCUUAAAAAACAUUAACUUGAGUGAAAUUUAUUGUCAAUCUGGAGCCCCAGUUGUUUGUGGAUUAUGGGCAAAAAUAAGAAUCAACAGUGUGAAGAAGGAUGGGAGAAAUUUACUCAAAAGGUCAGGUCUUGAGAGACAUAGCAACACUUUUUCCCUCUUUUUGCAUCUUAUAAUGGUUAUUUCAUGAUGACAAAACUUUCUUAUGAAAAAUUCAGUUUUUGUAUUAACAAACACAAUCUGUGAAUUUUGUA